UAGCCACAUUUUUAUUAUCUUUUUUAUUGUUUAUUUACACAUUUUUUAGUUUAAUUUAUGGUUUCUAUCUUGUUUUUACAGAAAAGGAAAGAAUUGGAAAAUUGGAGAAAAAGUGCAGAAAUUUGACAGAAAAGUGAUUGGGUCAGUGAUUUGCCCAGUGAUCUGCCCAGUUCAAGCUGAAGCAGAAACCUGGAGGCAACAGGCAGAAGUGAUAUGGGCAGUGAUUUGCCCAGGACACUCGAGGACACUGGCCAAAUCACUCGCAGAAGACAGAGAGAACUGACUGGCAGAAACGUGAUCAGGUCAGUGAUUUGCCCAAUCCAUUGAAGAAACUGGUCAAAUCGCCGGGCAAAUCACUUCGACAGCAGAAAAUACAGCAGAGCGGAAAAUUGUUCAAGAAACCGAAUUUCAAGUUUUCAGAAGUCCAAAUCCAACUCAAUCACUACCAAAUCAAUUCCAAGAGCCACGAAAGAGUCUCUCACUUAAGAAAUUCCAGUUGCAAUUAAAUUCAACAUCAAAAGAGGAAUCACAAGCCAAAUUAAAAAGGGAUUUCAAAACCCUAGAAGGAGAGAUUUCUUCAACUAUAAAAGGGCAACCUCCAAACCAGCAAAGGCAUCUUCUGCUGAGGAAUUGAACUCGUCAGAAACUCUCCAGCAUCUUCCUUUUUCCUUUCUUUUCAUCUUUUGUGUACUUAGUCCACCAUGAGUGGCUAAUUUCCUUCUUUUCUAGUUGAAGUUGGUGAAUUUCAGAUUUUGUGAUGAAUUGGGAGAUUUAAAUCUCCAUUGUUAAACUUCUAUUUAUUUUCAAUAUUUAUGCAAUUUGAGCUUUCCAUAAAUAUUACUUUGCUUUUAGAAUCAAUAAGGGCCCAUUGCUUUUAAAUUGCUUAAGUAAUAUUGUUUGAAUGAUUUAGGUCCGUAAUUGCUUAGGUUGUUCAAAUACACAUUUAAUCAAAUUGCAUAAUCUAAACUUGACCACGCGGUUGGCAAGGAUAGAAUUGGGUUUCUCUAAGUCUUAAUGCAGUCAACAGUUGUUCGAUGCUACAAUGCCCCAAGGACGUUCCUUGGCAACUUGUUGAUUAGUGUUUGAUUAGCGAACGUUUCCUAAUCAAACUAGAACUAAGGAGGAAUUUGGAUUGUGAGAAGCGUCUUCCACAUCCAAAACUAAUUUAUUGGAAUAAAUAGGAGAGUUAAAGAAUCAAUGAUCAAUUCUAAACAAUCUGAAAUAAGAUCCAUACUUCAACUAGAAGCUUGUCUCUUAUUGAUUUACUCACCUUUAAAUUAUUGCUUUCUUUUGCUAUUUUGUUUUAAUUCAUCAACUCAAACCCCCCUCUUUUAAUUAUUUGUUAUUUACUUAUCUUGGUUAUUAUUAGGAAGAUCUUUAGUGUCAAUUCCCUGUGGUUCGACCCUAUUGCCACUAUCUACAAGUUUAUUGUUGAUUGUUUAAUAGGUUUAU
rnacentral:lncRNA from 1 species